CUGAAACCAAGCGUCCUGUUUUUCCAUGAAAACAGAUGUAGCAGAAUGAAAACAGAACAUAGAACAGCCAGCUUCCCUUACUGUGUUGAACCCCCAUGCUCCAAACCUCUUGGAACUUCAGAGGGAGACAAGGACAUGCUCAGCACCUUGAGGACUGGUCUUGAAGAGAGCAAUCAAGCAGGCUUGGUGUGCAUCGGCAAGAGAAGAGCUGGGGAACUGAUUUCUGCCAACAACAGAAAGUGUGUUUGA
rnacentral:lncRNA from 1 species